GAUGCUGGCAGUGAGACACAGCCCAUCCAGCUCAGCCUUCACCACUACAGAAGUCCUUCUGAGCCUUAGAAGCGUUAAAGUAGGUCUCAUGCUGAUAACAAAGGUUAAGGAAAUAAUCUCUUUCCCUUUGCAGAUAAGGACUUGAAAACUGCCUUUGCAGUGUCUCUCUCCUGUGCCGCACAGAGACAUUUCUGCAGCCUGCGAUUUCUCUUGCUUUAAGCAGUAUUUAUCAAAUGGAAACAUAUGUAUACAGUAGAUUGUACUUGGAAAUGCAGUUCACUUUUACAAUUCUUAUUAACAAGGAUGCUCAUGGGUACACUUCUGAGAAAAAGGAUGAAAUAUCCCACUUUGUCAAGAUGCAAGGUUUUGAACAGAUAAUAUCUCCCAGGCGUCUUUAG